UCNGNCNUCACAUGCAAGUCGAGCGGUAACAGGACCAGCNUGNUGGUUGNUGACGAGGGCGGACGGGUGAGUAAUGNGCAGAGAUUUACCCGAUAGUUGGGGAUAGCCCGGAGAAAUCCGGAUUAAUACCGAAUAAGCUCUUUGGAGGAAAGUGGGGGACCUUUUGGGGCCUCACGNUAUUGGAUGAGUNUGCGUCGGAUUAGCUGGUUGGUGGGGUAAAGGCCUACCAAGGCGACGAUCCGUAGCUGGUCUGAGAGGAUGAUCAGCCACACUGGGACUGAGACACGGCCCAGACUCCUACGGGAGGCAGCAGUGGGGAAUAUUGGACAAUGGGGGCAACCNUGAUCCAGCCAUGCCGCGUGUGUGAAGAAGGCUUUCGGGUUGUAAAGCACUUUCAGGUGAGGAAGGGUGUUGUUAAUAUCAGCAUACAUUGACGNCNCAGC
rnacentral:rRNA from 1 species